rnacentral:rRNA from 1 species
CCUACGUGAGGCAGCAGUGAGGAAUAUUGGUCAAUGGGCGCGAGCCUGAACCAGCCAAGCCGCGUGAGGGAUGACGGUCCUAAGGAUUGUAAACUUCUUUUGUCGGGGGGCAAAAGCCGCCACGUGAGCCUUACCGAGAGUACCUGAAGAAAAAGCAUCGGCUAACUCCGGGCCAGCAGCCGCGGUAAUACGGAGGAUGCGAGCGUUAUCCGGAUUUAUUGGGUUUAAAGGGUGCGCAGGCGGACGUUGAAGUCAGCGGUAAAAUCGCGGGGCUCAACCUCGUCGAGCCGUUGAAACUGGUUUUCUUGAGUGAGCGAGAGGUAUGCGGAAUGCGUGGUGUAGCGGUGAAAUGCAUAGAUAUUACGCAGAACUCCGAUGGCGAAGGCAGCAUACCGGCGCUCAACUGACGCUCAUGCACGAAAGUGUGGGUAUCGAACAGGAUUAGAUACCCGGGUAGUC